GUGUGUGUGUGUGUGUGGAUGUGUGUGUGUGUGUGUGUGUGUGUGUGUGGAGGUGUGUGUGUGUGUGUGAGUGUGUGUGUGUGUGGAGGUGUGUGUGGAGGUGUGUGUGUGUGUGUGUGUGUGGAGGUGUGUGGAGGUGUGUGUGUGGAGGUGUGUGUGUGGAGGUGUGUGUGGAGGUGUGUGUGUGGAGGUGUGUGUGUGGUGGGGUGUGUGUGUGUGGAGGUGUGUGUGUGUGUGGAGGUGUGUGUGUGUGGAGGUGUGUGUGUGUGGAGGUGUGCGUGUGUGGAGGUGUGUGUGUGUGUGUGUGUGUGUGUGUGUGUGUGUGGAGGUGUGUGUGUGUGUGGAGGUGUGUGUAUGUUUGGAGGUGGAGGUCUGUGGGUGCGCGUAUCUCCCUGAUCGUGGCCCAGCUGUGGGAGAGGAGAUAUUUUAUAAACUAAUCCUCUUAUCAGGAUCUUGUGCUGCUCUCUGCACACACCGUUUCCCUGAGAAAGUCAGGGAUGGAGGGGACCCAGUAGGACGCCCUGACACACACAC
ensembl:lncRNA